CAGCCGGCGCACGCGCGGUGGUGGGGCGCAAGAUGGCGGCGAGCAGGGCGGGUGUUUUGGCUGGACGGCGGCGGGCGAGGGCAGAGGCGGGCUGGAGUCGAGCAUGUGGGGGCCGCGGUGAGGCGAGGUGCCGAAGCCCAGUCGGGCAGUCGAAGGAGCCUCGUCGCAGCUGAGAGCUCUGCAGAGAUGCGCGGCUGGCCGUGGAGGAUGAGCUCUGACUUGCAGCGUGGACACAGCUAAAUCCUGGGCCGCGUCAUAUGCGAGCAGGGCUGGGAGAUGCGAGGUGGUUGUCCCCCUAGGUGUGGUCACUGGCGCCGCUGGCCGUGGCCGUUUGCCCGCAGAGCUGACAGGACCAAACAUACUAAUUGCCUGACCGGAAAUGAAUUAGUGCUUGCAGGGUUUCAGGGUAGCCCACCGAAGGGGGACAUCUCGAAGAGAAGCAGCAAGACCUGGGGAUCCGGUGGUUCAUUUUGGUCGUCGCCUGUGAGGCCAGCAUGCAAGAGUAAGAGGAAGCUAGGAGCAGUCUCAAAAAGGUAAUAGGUCUGAAAGGGAGACAGGCAAAUCGAGGGCUGUCGUUCCUCCACGUAGUUAAAGACCGAGAGAGUUGUCGGUUAAGCGCGUGCAUACGAGGGUUUGCGAACAGUAACAAUAACACUGAAGCGGAAUAAAAAUAAGGUUUCG